rnacentral:rRNA from 1 species
GGAAUCUUCCACAAUGGACGAAAGUCUGGUGGAGCAACGCUGCGUGAGUGAUGAAGGGUUUCGGCUCGUAAAACUCUGUUGUUGGAGAAGAACAGGUGUCAGAGUAACUGUUGACAGCUUGACGGUAUCCAACCAGAAAGCCACGGCUAACUACGUGCCAGCAGCCGCGGUAAUACGUAGGUGGCAAGCGUUGUCCGGAUUUAUUGGGCGUAAAGCGAGCGCAGGCGGUUUUUUAGGUCUGAUGUGAAAGCCUUCGGCUUAACCGGAGAAGUGCAUCGGCAACCGGGAGACUUGAGUGCAGAAGAGGACAGUGGAACUCCAUGCGCAGCGGUGAAAUGCGUAGAUAUAUGGAAGAACACCAGUGGCGAAGGCGGCUGUCUGGUCUGUAACUGACGCUGAGGCUCAAAAGCAUGGGUAGCG